CCUACGGGUGGCUGCAGUGGGGAAUAUUGGACAAUGGGCGAAAGCCUGAUCCAGCCAUGCCGCGUGUGUGAAGAAGGCCUUCGGGUUGUAAAGCACUUUCAGUUGGGAAGAAAGCCUUGGGGCUAAUACCCGCGAGGAAGGACAUCACCCACAGAAGAAGCACCGGCUAACUCCGUGCCAGCAGCCGCGGUAAUACGGAGGGUGCGAGCGUUAAUCGGAAUUACUGGGCGUAAAGCGCGCGUAGGCGGUCUGAUAAGCCGGUUGUGAAAGCCCCGGGCUCAACCUGGGAACGGCAUCCGGAACUGUCAGGCUAGAGUGCAGGAGAGGAAGGUAGAAUUCCCGGUGUAGCGGUGAAAUGCGUAGAGAUCGGGAGGAAUACCAGUGGCGAAGGCGACCUUCUGGACUGACACUGACGCUGAGGUGCGAAAGCGUGGGUAGCAAACAGGAUUAGAUACCCCAGUAGUC
rnacentral:rRNA from 1 species